rnacentral:rRNA from 1 species
GACGAACGCUGGCGGCGUGCUUAACACAUGCAAGUCGAACGGAAAGGCCCUGCUUUUGUGGGGUGCUCGAGUGGCGAACGGGUGAGUAACACGUGAGUAACCUGCCCUUGACUUUGGGUUAACUUCAGGAAACUGGGGCUAAUACCGGAUAGGAGCUCCUGCUGCAUGGUGGGGGCUGGAAAGUUUCGGCGGUUGGGGAUGGUCGCGCGGCUUAUCAGCUUGUUGGUGGGGUAGUGGUAUACAAAGGCAUUGCCGGGUAGCCGGCAUGAGAGGGUGACCGGCGACAAUAGGCCUGAGAGACGGCGCAGACGGCUACGGGAGGCAGCAGGGGGGAACAUGGUACAAUGGGCCGGAGCCUGAUGCGGCGACGCCGCGGGCGUGAUGACGGCCUUUGGGGUGAAAACCGCUUUCGCCUGUGACGAAGCGUGAGUGACGGUAAUGGGUAAAUAAGCACCGGCUAACUACGUG